rnacentral:rRNA from 1 species
CACUGAAUAUUUAAAGAGCUGCAGUAUUUUGACUGUACAAAGGUAGCAUAAUCAUUAGUAUAUUAAUUGUAUACUGGAAUGAAAGGUUGGACGAGAAAUAUACUGUCUCUUAAUAAUAUAUAUAAUUUUACUUUCUAGUAAAAAGGCUGGAAUUUUAUUUUUGGACGAUAAGACCCUAUAGAACUUUAAUUAUUAUAAUUAAAUAAUUUGGGUUAUUUUCAUUUAUUUUAAUAGAAUUAAUUUUAAUUGGGGCGAUUUGAAUAAUAGCUAAACUAUUCAUUAAUUUUUUCAUUGAUUUAUGUUUUUUUUUGAUCCUUUAUUAUGGAUUAAAAGAUUAAGUUACCUUAGGGAUAACAGCGCAAUUAUCUUUGAGAGUUCUUAUUGACAAGAUAGAUUGUGACCUCGAUGUUGGAUUAAGAUUAUUAUUUGGGUGUAGGAGCUCAACUAAUUGGUCUGUUCGACCAUU